AUACUAGUGCCAGAAAGAAUGGGUAGUUUUUAAGCAUCUAAUAUGAAGUUUAUCUUCCUAGUAUU
rnacentral:tRNA from 1 species